GCUAGCGUUGCUCGGAAUUACUGGGCGUAAAGCGCACGUAGGCGGAUUGUUACGUCGGGGGUGAAAUCCUGGAGCUCAACUCCAGAACUGCCUUCGAUACUGGCGAGCUCGAGUUCGGGAGAGGUGAGUGGAACUGCGAGUGUAGAGGUGAAAUUCGUAGAUAUUCGCAAGAACACCAGUGGCGAAGGCGGCUCACUGGCCCGAUACUGACGCUGAGGUGCGAAAGCGUGGGGAGCAAACGGG
rnacentral:rRNA from 1 species